rnacentral:rRNA from 1 species
GACGAACGCUGGCGGCGUGCUUAACACAUGCAAGUCGAACGGAAAGGCCCUGCUUUUGUGGGUUGCUCGAUUGCCGAACGGGUGAGUAACACGUGAGUAACCUGCCCUUGACUUUGGGAUAACUUCAGGAAACUGGGGCUAUUACCGGAUAGGAGCUCCUGCUGCAUGGUGGGGGUUGGAAAGUUUCGGCGGUUGGGGAUGGACUCGCGGCUUAUCAGCUUGUUGGUGGGGUAGUGGCUUACCAAGGUUUUGACGGGUAGCCGGCCUGGGAGGGUGACCGGCCACAUUGGGACUGAGAUACGGCCCAGACUCCUACGGGAGGCAGCAGUGGGGAAUAUUGCACAAUGGGCGGAAGCCUGAUGCAGCAACGCCGCGUGCGGGAUGACGGCCUUCGGGUUGUAAACCGCUUUCGCCUGUGACGAAGCGUGAGUGACGGUAAUGGGUAAAGAAGCACCGGCUAACUACGUG